CCAAGUUUAAUCUGAACGCGAAAUUGAAAGAUUCUCGUAUAAAUUUAGCAUAAUCUGCUGUUGACACAUUACAAAUACAUCGGUAUCGGAGCGCAGUGUGAAAACUGACUGUAACAUUAGCUAUAAUCCGACAGUGGAACACGUGCAUUUGUUUACAAUAUAGCUACAACCCACAGAACGCGAGACUAAAUGCUGCUAGCUACGUCAGCUAGCUAACUUUAGAUGCAUACAACAGUUAUUGUUGUCGACGCAGCUGGUAAUGCUCACCUUCUUUCCUACGUGCCAUAUCGACAUAUAAAUCUGCGUAGAGGCGAAGAGGACGGAGACUUUAGUUUAACAUGUGGCUAUAGCUAAUAUGCUAGCAAGCUAGCGGAGUUAGCUAACCAGCCUGCUAGCUAGCUUUUAAAAUUAGCUCACUUCAUAACAGAGGUUUAACACAUCAGUGAAAUGAUUGAGCUAUGUAACAUUCCGUGUUAAAAAAUAGCUUAAGGAAUAGCUAGAGCUAACUAACUAUACUUAAACAAUACUAAAAAGCAAGUACGCUCAUCAAAGUGCAAUAAUGCUCGGACUCCUCUAGCUGCAUUCUCCCCACAAGACUGCCUGGUACUGACUGCAUAGUAACCUCGCUUGGUCUAGUCGCGCCGAUUCCCAUUCAAACUAAUGCCAAUUUAUUGUAACCUUAGUUGUCAGAAAGGAUAAGUACCCUGUACAUAAUCCAUCAAUAUAUUGUUUUAAUCUGUAGAAUCCAUUCUUCAAAUCGGCAUAUAAAGCAGCCUUGUUCGGUUUAUAUACAGAAUAUCAUAGCAUUCUUUGGAACUGCUCGUCCACUUAGUAUUUGAAGAAAAACACAUAGUAAGUCUAACAUUAGCGAUACGUUUUACUGAGGCAAAUUGCUUCUGUGAUAUUAAAUGAAAGGCGAAUAAAAUGUGACUCAGUGUACUUCGAAAAUGAUCUUGUCUCCCUGCCAAAAAAAUCAAAUCCAAUUUGUUUAGGUUCAUAUAGACAGUUUAAAUAUUGCCAACUUUCUUUCCUGAAUUGUGAUGAGUGCGACGCAUCAGACUAGAGCUCCCCAUGUGUUUGAAUCCUGUAAUAACAGCGGUUUGGGGCGUGCGCACACUGAGCCAGCUGUAGGACGGGGUGGAAGCGAGAUGAGAAUACCAAGUAGGCGCCUCAUGGCUCAGCAUCAGCGCCGGGCUGAGUUAGGAUUUGCGCACCCUCCAAACUUGGCUUGGGACCUCAGCAUGUGAACGGGCUUUGCAGGAGGAGGAUCCACCUAGGAUGUCAGCUCUGAAGAAGGUGUUGCCAGGCAUACUGAAGAAGCACUGCUGUAUCGUACCAGACAGGAACACAGGUUUGAAGAGGUUGCUGAUGAAAUUGAAGAGCAGGGGGAUAUACUCAGGUACCUG